rnacentral:piRNA from 1 species
UACCACUCAGUGUUAUCAAGACCAAGUCGC